rnacentral:rRNA from 1 species
AUUGAACGCUGGCGGCAGGCCUAACACAUGCAAGUCGAGCGGAGCGGCGGACGGGCGAGUAAUGCCUAGGAAUCUGCCUGGCAGUGGGGGAGAACGUCCGGAAACGGGCGCUAAUACCGCAUACUAUCAGAUGAGCCUAGGUGGGAUUAGCUAGUUGGUGGGGUAAGGGCCUACCAAGGCGACGAACCGUAACUGGUCUGAGAGGAGGAUCAGUCACACUGGGACUGAGACACGGUCCAGACUCCUACGGGAGGCAGCAGUGGGGAAUAUUGCACAAUGGGCGAAAGCCUGAUACAGCCAUGCCGCGUGUGUGAAGAAGGCCUUCGGAUUGUAAAGCACUUUCAGUUGGGAGGCGUUACCAACAGAAUAAGCACCGGCUAACUCCGUGCCAGCAGCCGCGGUAAUUC